AUCUUAUCUCCAUUUUAUUUUAUUUUUACUUCUUGAAGCUUUCUCUAGUUUUGGGUUCCUUAAAUCUUCGUACAUUUUUUUUUUAUCUUUUAAGCUUCCUCAGUUCAUUCCAUCUCAAUAUCUGGAUUUCUUGAAGCAUCCUCUAUUUUGAGGGGAGUUUUAAGUUUUCUCAGCGUAUUUGAUCUUCAUUUUUAGGUUUCUUAAAGUUCUUCCAACAUAUUUCAUCUUUAUUUUUGUGUUUCUUGAAGCGUUCUCCAUAUUUGGAUUUUUCUAAGUUCCCUCAACACUAAUAUUUUUUUGGGUUUCUUGAAGCUUCCACCAUUUCGGGUUUCUUAAAGUUCCCUUAUCGAUUUUGUGAUAUCAAGUAUGUGACAUUGAUUCUAUGGCCAAGAUUUUGCAAUGAUGAUUCUAAAGCCCAAAUUCUGCAACCUUUAUCCUACAAUCCCUUUUUUAUUUCUCUAGACUUUAUCAAUAUAUUCUAUAGCUAGCUUGAAAUCUUGUUCCUGCUCUGCUUCCAUCAUGUUGUUCUUGGGUGUACAUAUGUUAUGUUGAUUUUUUUUCAUCUUUUUCAUUAUCAAAUCCCACUCUGCAACUCAAAUCAAAAUUACCUCAACUCUCAUGUUAUUUUUGGAUGCAACUACCAUGUUGAUUAUGGGUCUCAUAUAUAUGGAGCUUCGGCUCUUUUCAUGUUAUUUUUCAAUUAAUUACUAUGUUGAUUUUGGGUCUCAUAUAUGUGAAUCUUCAACUCUCUUCAUGUUGUUUUUGGAUGCAACUAUCAUGUUAAUUGUAAGUAUUGUAUAUUGGAGCUCCAAUUCUCUUCAUGUUGUUUUGGUGUGAAACUUCUCUCAUAUUAUGUUAGGUUUUAUUUCUCCUGGGUUACGACUCUCUCCCAUGUUGUUUUAAGGUUUCAUUUCUACAGAGUUCUGACUUUCUCCCUUGUUUUCAUAUGUGUUUUAGGUUUUAUCUCUACAACCUCUAUAACAUUGCUCUAUAGAUUUCCACUAUACUUUUGUAGCCUAACUUUUUAGGUAUUUUAUGUUGGUUUCUUCCUUCUUUACGAAUCUUGCUUAGUAGCUUAGACCAUUCUACCUUGCUUAUCUAUUGUGUUGGUUUAAUUUUGCUAUGCUUUUUUGGUACUUAUUUAUAUUAUUAUGGCAUUUUCCAUUUUUUUCUUCAUCAAUCAAGCUCAAGUUUGAAGUCACUCUUGCUUUUUCUAUAUUUUUAUAUUAAAUCCUCUUCCAUAUUACUUUUGGGUUCUACAUACACCAUGUUGUUUUGGAUUUCUAUUUUUGGGGAGCUACAACUUUCUACCAUGUUUUAGGUACAAUCUUUCCCAUUUUUGUUAGGUUUUACUCUAUGGAACUUUGGCUCACUUCUAUGUUAUUUUUGAGUGCACAUAUGUUAUGUUAAUAUGUUUUAGCUCUUUGCAACUUCCUCUUAUAUUAUGUAAUUUUUAGGUGGACAUAUGGUAUAUUGAUUUUCCUACAACUUUUGACAGUUUUGAAAUGAGAAUAAUUGAGGUUAUCUAUAGUGGUAUCAUGAUACCUAAACUCCUAAGAAUGCCCUAAUUCAAGAUUGUCGCAGGUAUCACGAUACCCAUAUAGUGGUAUCACGAUACUAUCGUCGUGCAGGGACAAAAAAUGACUACACGGAUAGUCUUUGUCCAAUUUUAACACCAAUCAAAUUUAGACAUUGAGGGGCAUAUUGGUCACAAUUUUUGGGUUGUAAUCAGAUUAAAAGCCACUUUUGGAUAAGAACAAAAUGGUAUAGAGUAUAGGGAGCUUUUACUUUAGGUUUUUUUACAUCUCUUUAGUUGAGGUUUAGGGUUUUCUUUUUCAUGUUUUUAGGGUUUAGUUUACUUUUCUGAUUUUUAAUUAGUUUGGUAGUUAGCUAGUUAGUUUUACUGUAGCUUAGUGUUAAUUGCUUUCUAAUGCAUUGACUUUCCUUGUAUUUACAGUUUAAACCUUUCAUUUAAUGUCAUUCAACGUUACUUUCUUUUACUUGUUAAAUAAUCAUAUCUUUGGUAUUUUUAUUCAUCAAACUUGUUGCCAUUGUUGUGUUCUUCAAGCUUUUGCAAGAAAGCUUGGGUUUUUAUUCACUUUUCUUUAAGUUUAAGUUAAUGCUUUGUUUGCUUGAAUUUUUGUUAUUGUGUGUUUGAAAAUGAGUAAGAAAAGCUAAAUCUAAGGUGGUUGGUUGAUGGAAAUGUUGUUAAGUUAUUUUUUGGUACAGAGACUAAAUCUUAAAAACUGGACUAGAUUGAAUAGACUUCAAAAACUUAGACUUGAUGACCCUAAAAAAAAUUAGGUAAGUGAGACUGAGAGGAGAUCUUAUUGAGCACCAAUUCUUUAGCCCCAGGUUAGUUUGAUGAGGUCUAGAGAUAAACCAGACUAAUUUAUUUAGCUUGGUAAAAUUAAGGUUGAGAGGUAAAAUUGAGUCAUUUAGGAGUUUUUUAGUUCCCUAAUUCGAAGAUUAACUAGCAACAUAGAAGGCAACUAAUCACUAUUUUUCAUUUAAUUGCUAUUUGUUUAAUUGUAUAUGUUUUACAAUUUAGUCCUUUUUUGUGCUAAGUAGUUAAUUAGGUUAAUUAAUUUCCAAUUUAUGUAUUGUUGUACUAUAGAAAUUGGUGAGUAGCUAGCUAGAAUCCUUUCUUGCAUACUUGUUAAAUAAAAAUCAUUAAAUCAUUGAUUCCCUUAAGUUCGAUUCUUAGAAUUCUUUAGUGUUCCAUUGUAAUAGUAUAAAUAUUACAAUUGACUUGUCAUACUUGCAGGCACCAUACAUAGUUAUUUUGAUUUGAUUUUCGUAGUUGUGUUGAUUUUCAACCCUGGUGUAUGCACUCACGAGGUGAGGCAGUCAAGUUGUUGGCGCUGUUGUUGGGGAUUGUAACAGUGUAAAUGUGUGGUCAAGUUAGUUUCCCUUGAGGCAAUAUUAGUUGAAAGACGAGGAAAUUAGAUAGUGCUUUUUAUUUUGUUGUACAGUGUUUUAUUUUUGUGUUUUUAUUUUAAUUUACCUUGUUGAAGAUUUUGCUUAAUCAUGUUUAAAAGCAAUGGAUAUAGGUGGUCGGGAGACCAAUACAACUAUGACGAGUAGUUAAGUUCAACCAAUAGAGAUUCGACGAACCAUUGGAGUUAUAAUGACAAUUAGGAAGGCAAGAGUAUCUACAUGAGCAUCCUUAUGGUUUAUAUGGAUAUGCAUCUGAGAUGGGAAGCUAUAAUUAAGGGUUGUCGAACAAUUAUCCAACAUAUAUUCGUAUUCCCUAUAUUACUAUCCGAAAAGUAAUAUGGAGAGUGAAGAGUACAUGGAAGACCCAUCCCUUGCUACACGGAUUGGAAUGUUGAAGGAGAGCAUGUCUUCGUUACAAACUAUUGUGUUUUCCAUGUCCAAAAUGUUGGAGCAAAUAUUAGAAAUUGUCCAAUACCGAGCCACAAUGAAUACUCUAAUAGAAGAGGUUAAGUAUGAUAUUCCCGAGCUCAAGGAUGAGGGCCAUUUCACCGUUAUUGAACAUGAUGACUUAAGCAUGGGCAUUCAACAAGUGUUCAGAGUUGAAGACCGUGACCAAGUUCUGGAAAUGAAAGAAGGUGUCUUCACUCCAAUUGACAUAGGAUUAGGAGUAAGAGUAGAAGUAGGAAUAUAGUUAGUUAUAGAGGAAGAAGCUAAACCGGGAACUAAGUGAAGGUAUGGAGGAGCCAACACACUUUCUGACUAUUUUUGUGGAUGAGCCAAUCGACGUACUUCAUGAUCACAUGCAUUCUUCUUCCGAUGCAGAAACUACAGUUUAAGAUAAUAAGACUUUAUAUGACAUUGAGUCCAUAUUGCCUGAAGUUAUAAUACCUUAGAAUGGAUUUUGGAUAUGGUUAGGCUUUGGAGAGAAGUGGCUCAUGAUGUGGCUGUCUCGAAGAUCGAAGAGGAGGUCGUUGUCUUAACAAUGAAGAAUAAACGCUGAUUCAAAGUGUCGAGAACCUCAUGGAAGUUAUUUUGCGGUGGUCUACCCACCGAAAACUACACAACAUUGAGAGCUUUAACGAAGUUUGAGGACUACUCCACCAUUUUGCUAUACAUAGUCUUAAAUCGAAUGAGUUUUUUAAAACUAAUCUUUAGUAGGGGAGAUAUUGAGGACAAUGUGUAAUUUAAGUAGGGGCAUUCAUAGAAAAAUUUCAUGUUCAGUCAAUGUUUUUAUGGUUAAGUGUUUGUCUUAGUUUUAUUUCAAUUUUUGCAUGGUGCUUGAACAUGAUUGGAUUGAUAAUUGGUGAAUUGUGGUAUGCUAUUGUACAAUUGAUUAUUUGAUUGUACAAACUUUGUAUGAUGAUUGAUGAAUUCUAUUUUUUGUGAAUAAA